rnacentral:rRNA from 1 species
ACCCAGCUUCCAGGAAAAGCCACUAAGCUUCAGCUACACACGACCGUACCGCAAACCGACACUGGUGCGCGAGAUGAGUAUUCUAAGGCGCUUGAGAGAACUCAGGAGAAGGAACUCGGCAAAUUGAUACCGUAACUUCGGGAGAAGGUAUGCCCCAAGUAGGUGAACUCGAACAGAGGGAGCCCAACGGGGUUGCAAAAAAUCGGUGGCUGCGACUGUUUAAUAAAAACACAGCACUCUGCAAACACGAAAGUGGACGUAUAGGGUGUGACGCCUGCCCGGUGCUGGAAGAUUAAAUGAUGGGGUGCAAGCUCUUGAUUGAAGUCCCAGUAAACGGCGGCCGUAACAAUAACGGUCCUAAGGUAGCGAAAUUCCUUGUCGGGUAAGUUCCGACCUGCACGAAUGGCGUAACGAUGGCCACACUGUCUCCUCCUGAGACUCAGCGAAGUUGAAAUGUUUGUGAUGAUGCAAUCUCCCCGCGGAAAGACGGAAAGACCCCAUGAACCUUUACUGUAGCUUUGUAUUGGACUUUGAACAGAUCUGUGUAGGAUAGGUGGGAGGCUUUGAAGUGAUGUCGCUAGAUGUCAUGGAGCCAACGUUGAAAUACCACCCUGGUGUGUUUGAGGUUCUAACCUAGGUCCAUUAUCUGGAUCGGGGACAGUGCAUGGUAGGCAGUUUGACUGGGGCGGUCUCCUCCCAAAGCGUAACGGAGGAGUUCGAAGGUACGCUAGUUACGGUCGGACAUCGUGACGAUAGUGCAAUGGCAUAAGCGUGCUUAACUGCGAGACUGACAAGUCGAGCAGAUGCGAAAGCAGGACAUAGUGAUCCGGUGGUUCUGUAUGGAAGGGCCAUCGCUCAACGGAUAAAAGGUACUCUGGGGAUAACAGGCUGAUACCGCCCAAGAGUUCAUAUCGACGGCGGUGUUUGGCACCUCGAUGUCGGCUCAUCUCAUCCUGGGGCUGUAGCCGGUCCCAAGGGUAUGGCUGUUCGCCAUUUAAAGAGGUACGUGAGCUGGGUUUAAAACGUCGUGAGACAGUUUGGUCCCUAUCUUCCGUGGGCGCUGCAGAUUUGAGGAAGCCUGCUCCUAGUACGAGAGGACCGGAGUGGACACACCUCUGGUGUAUCGGUUGUCACGCCAGUGGCAUUGCCGAGUAGCUAAGUGUGGAAGAGAUAACCGCUGAAAGCAUCUAAGCGGGAAACUCGUUUCAAGAUGAGAUCUGCCGGGGCCUUGAGCCCCCUGAAGAGUCGUUCAAGACCAGGACGUUGAUAGGUCAGGUGUGGAAGCG